rnacentral:rRNA from 1 species
CCCUUAGAUGUCCUGGGCCGCACGCGCGCUACACUGACAUGUUCAACAAGCCUCCUAGUUCGACAGGAUUUGGGAAAUCUUUGAACGCAUGUCGUGAUAGGGAUAGAUCAUUGCAAUUAUUGAUCUUGAACGAGGAAUUCCUAGUAAACGCGAGUCAUCAGCUCGCAUUGAUUACGUCCCUGCCCUUUGUACACACCGCCCGUCGCACCUACCGAUUGAAUGUUUCGGUGAAGAUUCCGGAUAGGACUUUUUUGAUUUAUUUCAAUUUUGUCUUAAAAGCUAUCUAAACCUAAACAUUUAGAGGAAGGUGAAGUCGUAACA